CAUGUUGAGUGGCAGCAGUCCCUUCUCCCAGAAUCCUCCUCAUCUCUCUGGAGAGUGGACAGCAGUCUGGCCUCUUCACUCUGUAGCCGUUGGCACUGUAGCAGAGAGCUUUCUUGCAGGUGGCCCAGACUUCCUGCAAACCAAUCUUCACCCCUGGACUUUGGGGCCACACCUGUCAAUGAGAGUAAGGUGAAGAAUUUCACUCUGAAAAACCCGACGGGUUCAGUGGUGUCUGUGGAGAUCCGAACCCUCUCCUCAUAUCCAGUUCCGCUUGAAGCCCUCGACAUGCUGACCAAAU